AUUGAACGCUGGCGGCAGGCCUAACACAUGCAAGUCGAACGAGUGGCGGACGGGUGAGUAAUGUCUGGGAAACUGCCCGAUGGAGGGGGAUAACUACUGGAAACGGUAGCUAAUACCGCAUACCAUCGGAUGUGCCCAGAUGGGAUUAGCUUGUAGGUGAGGUAACGGCUCACCUAGGCGACGGUGCCUAGCUGGUCUGAGAGGAUGACCAGCCACACGCGACCGGAGACACGGUCCAGACUCCUACGGGAGGCAGCAGUGCGGAAUAUUGCACAAUGGGGGCAAGUCUGAUGCAGCCAUACCGCGUGUAUGAAGAAGGAAUUCGGGUUGUAAAGUCCUUUCGACGGGAAGGCGUUACCCGCAGAAGAAGCACCGGCUAACUCCGUGCCAGCAGCCGCGGUAAUAC
rnacentral:rRNA from 1 species